UCCGGUUUGUCACCGGCAGUCUCCCUAGGGUCCCCACCAUUACGUGCUGGCAACUAAGGACAAGGGUUGCGCUCGUUACGGGACUUAACCCAACAUCUCACGACACGAGCUGACAGCAACCAUGCAGCACCUGUGCAGGCUCCCUUGCGGGUCCUUUCCCUUUCAGGUCCGUACCACCUGCAUGUCAAGCCCAGGUAAGGUUCUUCGCGUUGCUUCGAAUUAAACCACAUGCUCCACCGCUUGUGCGGGCCCCCGUCAAUUCCUUUGAGUUUCAGCCUUGCGGCCGUACUCCCCAGGCGGGGCACUUAAUGCGUUAGCUCCGACACCGAAUGCGUCUAUACACCCGGCAUCUAGUGCCCAUCGUUUACGGCGUGGACUAC
rnacentral:misc_RNA from 1 species